GAAUUAAUUAUUAAUAAUACCUGCUCAAUGAAAUUAAAUAGCCGCAGCUCAUACUGUGCUAAGGUAGCAUAAUCAUUUGUCUUUUAAUUAAAGACUAGAAUGAAAGGUUUAACAUUUAAAUUAUUCUAAAAUAUUCUUUAUUAAAUUUAUUUUAAAUGUAAAAAAACAUUUAUUUUUAGAAAGACGACAAGACCCUAUUGAACUUUACUGAAGUUUAACUGGGGCAGUUAAUUAAUUAAUAUUUUAAUUUUCAAUAUUACAAAAAUGACCCAAUCCAAUUGAUUAAAUGAUCAAGCUACCAUAGGGAUAACAGCGUAAUAUUUUUUUAUAGAUCGUAUUUAAAAAAAUGAUUACGACCUCGAUGUUGAAUUAAUUUUUCUAAUAAAUGCACCCAUUUAAAAAGAAAGUCUGUUCGACUUUU
rnacentral:rRNA from 1 species